rnacentral:ncRNA from 2 species
GGAGGAACCUCUGGAGAGAACCGUUGAAUCGGUCGCCGAAGGAGCAAGCUCUGCUUACCCAAUGAAGUAGAGUGAAACUCUCAGGCAAAAGGACAGAGGAGUGAAA